rnacentral:lncRNA from 1 species
GCAGAUGAUCACACCCACCUUGGGUUUGGAAUGAAUGGAUAUAACUUUGGUGUUAUGAGCUAUUUCUGACGUUGGUGUUUUUUUAAGGGGAAACACUCAACAGGGGAGCCAUUAAAAGGGGACUAGGUGGAGGUUGCACAGAGGAGAUCCCUAGAAGACUUCUCCCCCACAAGCCCGUUUGUCUCCAGUUCUCUCAGGGCCCCUCCAUCACAUGAACAGGAACCAACUUCCCAGGUAGAGCUGUCUUCUUUCUUCAGGUCUGCCCUCAAGUAGUACCUGCCUAGUUCAAUGACAGGACAGAGCAAUUAGUAUUUCUUGUAGACUUGGCGACGGGCUAUCUGUCCCUUCACUGAGUGGCCAGAUCAGUAGACUGAGCUUGCCUUGGUUAUGUCCAUACUUCAUUCUGUGUCAGGCUACUUAAACACCGUGCUCUUUGAAAACCACUAAGGCCAUGAAAGAAGAUUGAGCUCAUCUCAGCCCAGGAAGAGACCCAGAGACCAAAGGACUAGACUGCCCAAGCCCAGCGUUCUCUGCUCUAGACCAGAAACAGAACCAUCUCAGGAUCCUUGCGCCCAUCCGCACUCACCAGCACCUUGCCUUCCUCAGUCUUUGCCCUGCUCGGUUGGAUUGGAGCAGACUUGGAAAGCUCUGGGUUUUUACAACAGUAGUGCUUUAUUCACUGCAGAAGAUCUGGGCUGGUUCUCUGACUUCCUCAGUUCUUAAAUCUCCUGGGAGAUGGGUUCACCUGUUGCCUGAGUGGGGCAUACCCAGACUAUCAGGGUGGGUCCCUCUUCCACCGCAGCUCCCUUCCGGAGGGGUCAAC